GUAGAAUAGGGAGAUAGAGAGAAAUGCUAAAUUAUUUCAGCGAAUUCUUAAUUAUUUUACUUAAAUUUAAAGUUGGAUUGGCUUAGCAAAAUAAUGUUUUUCCUUUUCUAUCAUUAGCUUUUCCUAAAGGCAAAAUAUUAUAACUUUAUAAGAAUAGUCCUUCUCCUGCCUAUUUAAUAUUUCAAUGUUAAUAUAAUUGUAUUGAUUUUUAAAAGUAAUUAAAAUGGCAACACUUUGCGAUCCAAUCUGAUAUUUAAUUUUUAAAAUGUAACAAUUUCUUAUAAAUUCAUGCUGUGUUUUUCUGCAUGAGACAAAUUUAAGUAUUUUAAAAAUUACUCCU
rnacentral:lncRNA from 1 species